CACGUAGGGCGCAAGCGUUGUCCGGAAUUAUUGGGCGUAAAGAGCUCGUAGGCGGCUUGUUGCGUCGACUGUGAAAACCCGCGGCUUAACUGCGGGCUUGCAGUUGAUACGGGCAGGCUAGAGUUCGGUAGGGGAGACUGGAAUUCCUGGUGUAGCGGUGAAAUGCGCAGAUAUCAGGAGGAACACCAAUGGCGAAGGCAGCUCGCUGGGACGGUACUGACGCUGAGACGCGAAAGCGUGGGGAGCGAACAGG
rnacentral:rRNA from 1 species